ACUCCUACGGGAGGCAGCAGUGGGGAAUAUUGCACAAUGGGCGCAAGCCUGAUGCAGCAACGCCGCGUGAGGGACGACGGCCUUCGGGUUGUAAACCUCUUUUAGUAGGGAAGAAGCGAAAGUGACGGUACCUGCAGAAAAAGCACCGGCUAACUACGUGCCAGCAGCCGCGGUAAUACGUAGGGUGCAAGCGUUGUCCGGAAUUAUUGGGCGUAAAGAGCUCGUAGGCGGUUUGUCGCGUCUGCUGUGAAAACCCGAGGCUCAACCUCGACCUGCAGUGGGUAGGCAGACUAGAGUGCGGUAGGGGAGAUUGGAAUUCCUGGUGUAGCGGUGGAAUGCGCAGAUAUCAGGAGGAACACCGAUGGCGAAGGCAGAUCUCUGGGCCGUAACUGACGCUGAGGAGCGAAAGCAUGGGGAGCGAACAGGAUUAGAUACCCUGGUAGUCCAUGCCGUAAACGUUGGGAACUAGAUGUAGGGACCAUUCCACGGUUUCGUGUCGCAGCUAACGCAUUAAGUUCCCCGCCUGGGGAGUACGGCCGCAAGGCUAAAACUCAAAGGAAUUGACGGGGGCCCGCACAAGCGGCGGAGCAUGCGGAUUAAUUCGAUGCAACGCGAAGAACCUUACCAAGGCUUGACAUAUACGAGAACGGGCCAGAAAUGGUCAACUCUUUGGACAUCGUAAACAGGUGGUGCAUGGUUGUCGUCAGCUCGUGUCGUGAGAUGUUGGGUUAAGUCCCGCAACGAGCGCAACCCUCGUUCUAUGUUGCCAGCACGUUAUGGUGGGAACUCAUAGGAGACUGCCGGGGUCAACUCGGA
rnacentral:rRNA from 1 species